GGCGUAAUCGAAGAGGCGAAGUUCUUUGGAGUCGAUUCGCUGAUUCCGGAUAUCGAGCGUAUGAUGAAGGCAGGCCCCGGUCCUAUGACUCGGCAGGACGUUCUGCGGGCUCUAUGCAAAGUGUCAAUCACGCGAAUAAGCUUCCAGGACAAAGACUUAUCAGGGGCCGACCUGUCCUUGCUGGAACUGCAGCACGUAAUCUUCAGGGGGGCCAACCUAAGCAUGUGCAACUUCGAAGGUUCCAAUCUCUCCCACUCCGACU